CUCUGGCGGUCGCAGGAGACGGUGCCCCGAGCUCCACCGCCCUGAUCAACGGCAGGGAGGCGGAGAGGGUACGUGCUAAAAUGACGCACAGAUCCAUUACUGCGCGCCGCAGGGGAGAGGAUGCUGCAGGGAGCUGAUGCGUGCCACGUUUCAGCCCCGCGGCCUCCGCGAGGCUGCAGCCGGCGGCGGGCCGCACGAGGCCUUGGUGAAAUGGACUUGCGCUCCAUCCAGUCCCUGACGUGUUACGACAACAGGGCCUUCCCAGGCCCAUUGCCCCGGUGGGUGGAAGUCCUCUCCUAUACAGGAAGCAAUGUCCACAGCCAGUGUUUGUGUGGAUGUUGGCAAACUGUUUGCAGUUUUCGAAGGAUGCUACAGGGGAAAA